AUUGAACGCUGGCGGCAGGCCUAACACAUGCAAGUCGAACGGUAACAGGAAACAGCUUGCUGUUUCGCUGACGAGUGGCGGACGGGUGAGUAAUGUCUGGGAAACUGCCUGAUGGAGGGGGAUAACUACUGGAAACGGUAGCUAAUACCGCAUAACGUCGCAAGACCAAAGAGGGGGACCUUCGGGCCUCUUGCCAUCGGAUGUGCCCAGAUGGGAUUAGCUAGUAGGUGGGGUAACGGCUCGCCUAGGCGACGAUUCCUAGCUGGUCUGAGAGGAUGACCAGCCACACUGGAACUGAGACACGGUCCAGACUCCAACGGGAGGCAGCAGUGGGGAAUAUUGCACAAUGGGCGCAAGCCUGAUGCAGCCAUGCCGCGUGUAUGAAGAAGGCCUUCGGGUUGUAAAGUACUUUCAGCGGGGAUGAAGGGAGUAAAGUUAAUACCUUUGCUCAUUGACGUUACCCGCAGAAGAAGCACCGGCUAACUCCGUG
rnacentral:rRNA from 1 species